rnacentral:rRNA from 1 species
UACAGAGGUCUCAAGCGUUGUUCGGAUUCAUUGGGCGUAAAGGGUGCGUAGGUGGCGCGCUAAGUCAGGUGUGAAAUUUCGGAGCUUAACUCCGAAACUGCAUUUGAUACUGGCGUGCUUGAGGACUGGAGAGGAGACUGGAAUUCACGGUGUAGCAGUGAAAUGCGUAGAGAUCGUGAGGAAGACCAGUGGCGGAAGGCGGGUCUCUGGGACAGUUCCUGACACUG